rnacentral:rRNA from 1 species
UAGGGAAUCUUCCACAAUGGGCGAAAGCCUGAUGGAGCAACGCCGCGUGUGUGAUGAAGGUUUUCGGAUCGUAAAACUCUGUUGUUAGGGAAGAACACCCGAGAGAGGAUCUCGGACUGACGGUACCUAACGAGAAAGCCCCGGCUAACUACGUGCCAGCAGCCGCGGUAAUACGUAGGGGGCAAGCGUUGUCCGGAUUUACUGGGUGUAAAGGGCGCGCAGGCGGGAUAAAAAGUCAGUGGUGAAAUCCUACAGCUUAACUGUAGAACUUCCUUUGAUACUUUUAUUCUUGAUUUCGGGAGAGAGAGACGGAAUUCCAUGUGUAGUGGUGAAAUACGUAGAUAUCUGGAAGAACACCAGUUGCGAAGGCGGUC